GACAGAGGUGCCGAGCGUUAGGCGGAAUCACUGGGCGUAAAGCGUGUGUAGGCGGUCUCUUAAGUCGGAUGUGAAAGCCCCGGGCUCAACCCGGGAAGUGCAUUCGAAACUGCGAGGCUAGAGUAUCGGAGAGGUUGGUGGAAUUCUCGGUGUAGAGGUGAAAUUCGUAGAUAUCGAGAGGAACACCGGUGGCGAAGGCGGCCAACUGGACGAAUACUGACGCUGAGACACGAAAGCGUGGGGAGCAAACAGG
rnacentral:rRNA from 1 species